GUGAAUCAUCGAAUUUUUGAACGCACAUUGCACUUUCUGGUAUUCUGGAAAGUAUGCCUGUUUGAGGGUCAUUUAAAUACAAAUCGUUGUUGUUGCUGCUUUUCUUGGUGACGCGUCGGAUUUGAAUUGUCUUACCUUCGGUUAUGUGACUUAAAAUGUUUCAUGAUUUUCGAACUUAUUUAAAUUGCUUACGUACGUUUGAGUUAUCGAAUACUAUUUU
rnacentral:misc_RNA from 1 species